GCUGGGUAUGGUGGCACAUGCCUGUAAUCCCUGGGAGGCUGAGGCAAGAGGAUCGCAAGUUCAAAGCCAGCCUCAGCAAAAGUGAGGUGCUAAGCAACUCAGAGAGACCCUGUCUCUA
rnacentral:sRNA from 1 species